ACUUGUAGCUCAGGUGGUUAGAGCGCACGCCUGAUAAGCGUGAGGUCGGAGGUUCAAGUCCUCCCAGGUCC
rnacentral:tRNA from 1 species